rnacentral:piRNA from 1 species
UGUACAAUGCUUCCAUCCAAGGGUGGACUGU